GUGAUCAUGCGGCCCCUGGGUUAUAUAACUCAGAACAGGCUGCCAGCUGUGUUUCCUCAGCUGCAGUGCAAGUGGGGCAUGCUCCGUUGAGACUUUAUUCACUCUGGGCAGUUUGUUGAAGAUUAGGUGGUCAGCUCACAAUGAAUCAUAAGCUGCUUUUGUCCCUUGCUGUCUAGAUGACCUACCCAUAGAAGAGAAAUCUGGCAGUCUGGCCACAGCAGCUUUGCUGACCUGCAGUGGGAUCCGACCAGUUGGAACUUCCCAGCGGCUUUGUUUACACUGUGAGCUGUGGAGCAUAAAACUGCCUACUCAAGCCUCAGCAAUGGUGGACGCCCCUCCCCACACCAAGCUCAAAUGUCCUGGGUAGAUCUCAGACUGCUGCUGUGCUGGCAGUGAGAAUUUCAAGCCAGUGGAUCUUAGUUUCCUGGGCUCCGUGGGGUUGGGACCUGCCAAGCCAGACCACUUGGCUCCCUGGCUUCAGCACCCCUUUGCAGGGGAGUGAACGGUUCUGUCUCACUGGCGAUCCAGGUGCCACUAGGGUAUGGAAAAAAAGAACUCCAGCAGCUAGUUCACUCACUGCCCAAAUGGCCGCCCAGUUUUAUGCUUGAAACCCAGGGUCCUGGUGGGGUAGGCACUGGAGGGAAUCUCCUGGUUUGUGAGUUGUGAAGACCAUGGGAUAAGCGCAGUAUCUGUGCUGGAGUUCCUCAGGCUCAGUCCCUCAUGGCUUCCCUUGGGUAGGGGAGAAAAAUCUCCCGAUCCCUUGCGCUUCCCAGGAGAGGCGAUGCUCCGCCCUGCUUCAGCUCACCCUCGGUGGGCUUCACCCACUGUCCUACCAGUCCCAGUGAGAUGAACCGGGUACCUCAGUUGGUAAUGCAGAAAUCACCCACCUUCUGCAUCGAUCUCACUGGGAGCUGCAGACCGGAGCUGUCCCUGUUUGGCCAUCUUGCCACAGGAUCAUCAAAGAUUUUAUAUGCAUACACAUACAUAAAUGUAAAAUCUAUUUUAUCUUCUUUUACACUAAGGCACUUGAAUUUGGAUUAUUUUAUACUUAGCAAUAUAGCUUGAAAGUUUUUUAUAUUAGCUUAUACAGAGUUUUGUUGUUGUUGUUGUUUCUUCAGCUGCAUAGUGCAGCAUUCCAUUGUGUGACUCUAUUAUACUUUAGCUAUUUGGGGUAUAUCUUAUAUUAUUAUACAUGAUGCUGCAAUUAUAUUUUGGAGUUGCCAUAUUAAAAUGCAUUGCUCUUCCUUGACAUUUGUCUUAAUCAACAUUUCUAACAGCAAUGUAUGAAUGUAACUGUUUCUUCACAAUUUAGUCCACUUUGUUCAUUAUCAAGCUUUUGUAUUUUUCAAAUCUAAUAAAUUAAAAAUGGUAUCCCAGCAUAGUUUAUAUAUAUAUGUGUGUAUAUAUACACACAUAUAUACUCAUACAUAUAUACACAUAUACACACAUAUAUACAUAUAUUUGUGUACAUAUAUAAAAUAAAUAAAAUUAGCAUAACAUAAAAUUAAACAUUUUAGGAUGAAAAAUAAAGUGAAAUUUAAUACAUUUACCAUGUUGUGGAAUCACUACUUUUGUUAAGUUUCAAACAUUUUUAUCACCCCAAAAGAAAACUUCAUACUUAUUAAUCAGUCAGCUAUCAUUUUCCCCUCUCCUCAGCUCCUAGCAAUCAUUAGUCUGCUUUCAGUCUCCAUGAAUCUAUCCAAUCUAGAUAUUUCCUAUAAAUGGAAUUAUACAAAAUAGUUUUUGUUUGGCUUUCUACACUUAGCAAAAUGUUUUGAGGUUCAUCCACAUUGUAGCAUAUAUCAGUAUUUCAUUCCUUUUUAUGACUGUUUAACAUCCCAUUUUAUGUAUAUACCACAAUUUCUUUAUGCAUUGAUUCAUUUGUGAAAAGUUGGAUUUUGUUCACCUUUUGCCUAUUAUGAACUUUUGCUGCUACAGACAUUUGUGUAUAGAUAUUUGAGUACCUGUUUUCAAUUUUUAGGUUAUAUAUGUAGGAGUGAAAUUGCUGAAUCAUAAAGUAAUUCAAUGUUUAGUUUUUUGAGGAAAUGCCAAACUGUUUUCCAUGACAACUAGAUCAUUUUGCUUUCCAACCAGCAAUGUCUGAGGGUUGAAAAUUCUUCACAUCCUUAACAAUACUUAAUCCUUUUCCCUCUUUUUAAAAAAAUUAUAGCCGUUAUGGAAAACAGUACAGAGUUUCCUCAAAUAAUUAAAAAUAGAACUUCCAUAUAAUCCAAAAAUUUCACUACUGAGUAUAUAUCCUAGGGAAAUGAAACCAGUAUGUUGAAGAGAUAUCUGUACUCCCAUGUUUAUUGCAGCACUGUUAACAACAGUCAAAAUGUGGACUCAACUUGUGUCCAACAAUGAAUGAAUGAAUAAAAAUAUGUGGCAUAUACAACAGAAUACCAUUCAGCCUUAAAAAAGAGUAAAAUCCUGUCAUUUGCCACAACUUAGAUAAAUCUGAAGAUCAUUAUGUUAAGUAAAAUAAGCCAGACACAGAAAGAUAAUACUGCAUGUUCUCACUCACUUGCAGAUUCUAAAGGAGUUGAUAUCAUAGAAGUAGAAAGUAGAAGAGUGAUUACCAGAGACUGGAGAGGGGAGGCUGAAGGGGUAUAUAUGAAAAGAACGGUCAAGCAGUAAAAGUUACAAUAGAAAAAAUGAAUAAAUUCUGGGGUUAUAUUGCACAGUUGCAUGACUACAGUCAACAGAAAGUAUUGUAUACCUCAAAACAACUAGAAAAGAAGAUUUUUUUAUGCUCCUACCACGAAGAAAUAAUGAAUGUUUGAGGUGAUGGAUAUGCUAAUUAUCCUGAUUUGAUCAUUACACAAUAUAUACAUGUGUUGAAACAUCACGUUAUACCCUAUAAAUAUGUACAAUUAUGUGUCAAUUAGAAAAUAAAAAUAAGUGAAUAUAUAUUAUUGAAAGAAUGUUGAUUAAACUGGCCCCUUUAACAAAAUGAAUUUCCAUCUUUUUUUUGUUCAAGCCAGCCAACUUAGAUGGCUGUAGAAAUUAUUGCUUCCUCUCACAGGACACACUUGGCAUUUCCCUAUCUAUUUCCCUUUCCUUCUUAUAUUCGCUAUUUUGUGCUCAGUGACACCUAGAUCUCUUCAUUUUUUCAUUCCCUACUAUUCUCCCAUUUUUUUUCAUCCCAAGCAUACUGUGCAAUUCUAUCCAAUCAUCUACCCUCACUUUAGAAGGUUCAUUCUACUUCCACUUCAUUAUAUUCAUUCUCAAAUGUGAAAAUGUGAGGACUGUUGAGAAAAUAACUAUGGUCUCUCCCAAACUCUAGUCCUUAGGUUGAAAAAUUUUUAAUGUAAUGGUAAAGUGCAAGUACUCUUAAUUUAUGUGGUCACACAGCACUAACGGG
rnacentral:lncRNA from 1 species